CUUGAUUUCCAUAAGAGGUCCAGCCUGCCCAGUGACAAAGUUCAACGGCCGCGGUAACCUAACCGUGCAAAGGUAGCAUAAUCACUUGUUCUCUAAAUAGGGACUCGUAUCAACGGCAUCACGAGGGCUUCACUGUCUCCUUUCUCUAAUCAGUGAAACUGAUCUCCCCGUGAAGAAGCGGGGAUUCUUCCAUAAGACGAGAAGACCCCAUGGAGCUUUAAGCAAUGCAUUUACUCUUUACUUAUUCUUAUCAAUUUAGUAAGAUACCUAAAUACUAGCUUUAGGUUGGGGGGACCGCGGAGUAUAAAUUAACCUCCACGACAAAUGGGCUACGCCCUUAUCUACGAGCCACAACUCUAAGAAUCAAUAAACUGAUGUAUAAUGACCCAACAAUUUGAUCAACGAACCA
rnacentral:rRNA from 1 species